UGGGGAAUCUUAGACAAUGGGGGAAACCCUGAUCUAGCCAUGCCGCGUGAGCGAUGAAGGCCUUAGGGUUGUAAAGCUCUUUCAGCUGGGAAGAUAAUGACGGUACCAGCAGAAGAAGCCCCGGCUAACUCCGUGCCAGCAGCCGCGGUAAUACGGAGGGGGCUAGCGUUGUUCGGAAUUACUGGGCGUAAAGCGCACGUAGGCGGAUUAGUCAGUCAGAGGUGAAAUCCCAGGGCUCAACCCUGGAACUGCCUUUGAUACUGCUAGUCUUGAGGUCGAGAGAGGUGAGUGGAAUUCCGAGUGUAGAGGUGAAAUUCGUAGAUAUUCGGAGGAACACCAGUGGCGAAGGCGGCUCACUGGCUCGAUACUGACGCUGAGGUGCGAAAGCGUGGGGAGCAAAACAGGAUUAGAUACCCUGGUAGUCCACGCCGUAAAACGAUGAAUGCCAGUCGUCGGGUUGAUGCAAUUCGGUGACACACCCUAAACGGAUUAAAGCAUUCCGCCUGGGGAGUACGGUCGCAAGAUUAAAAACUCAAAUGAAUUGACGGGGUCAUAGCUGUUUCCUG
rnacentral:rRNA from 1 species